rnacentral:lncRNA from 1 species
AUGAAUAUCAAAUAACAAGUGCAUCAUUUACUACAACGUAUGAUCCAGAAUUUAUAAAGUAUUACAAACUGAAUAGCACAUGGCUAACUUAAUAACAGCGGAAAUGUAGCAUAAUAAACGAUGAAUCCCAUCAAUGCCCACUGGCGAAAAUGCUGAGUGAAGACUCGCGACCCUACUGUAUCUCACUGAUCAUCUGGAAAUCCUGCAACAUGAUAAGUUGCAGCCACAAGGGUCAAUACAUUGAAUGUAUUGGCAAAUCACACAAUAUGAUAAAGCUAACCUACAUCCACAAGCAAAGUAUGACAAACAAAACACUCAAGUUGGUUCCUGGAAGAAUGUCUUCACCUACCUCCACUAACUGAUCAAGGUUCACACACCACAACCAAUUACCCGCAGAAAAGAAUGACAAAGAUCUUCAAGAAGUCUCAAGUGCGCCCAGUCGUGGUGCAUUCUCUAGGGACAAUAGAGCGCCCAGCCAUCAAUGCAUUCACCUGAUUUAAGCCCCGAAACCUCAAGUGCGCUCAGCCAUGGCGCAUUCUUUAGGGACAAUAGAGCGCUCAGCCAUUGACGCAUUCACCUGAUAAAAAGUCCCGAGCCUACAACUAUAAAGACUCACCACUUCCAUGCAUCACUCGACACAUACCCACAUCUACCAUCGCAAGCUACUCACACCAUCACGCAAUACAGUCAAUACCAAAACAUGACAACACAGAAUCAAACAUAUAACAUAUCACAACAACUACACAUGCAUAGCAGAAAUAUAGGAUGAGCAUAAUCAAAAGUGAAACUUGCCUUGAACGUUGUUGAAGUACUCUAACGCUUAAUUCUGAUCCGCUUCACACUCCGGACAAUCUAUACGAUAACGAAGGCACCGAUAAAUAAACCGUACUCACAUAACCCACAAUAAAACCAACAUCAAAGAAUUCAAAUAAAAACUUAAUUAACAGAACAUAUCAGUAGGUAUAUAUUAUCUACAUGCUAGUAGGAUCACAAUGCAAAAAGAAUCAAUUAAUUUGGAUCAACGGUUUGAAAGAUAUGGCCUCCAGAAGGUUAGAUUCAAAUUUGAUCAAUUUCAAAUUUAAAAAGUUCAAAAAUGUGAAAUUUUGGUUCUACCAGAUGCUCCUGAUCAAUGUGAGUACACAGGAAAAAGAAUCGGUGGAUUUGGACAUACAGAUCUCUAGAUAUACCUAAAUGAACAUUUGAUAUGGAAUCUGCCAAAAUAAAUUGUGUUAAAAUAGAUUUCUUCGAAGAACUGCUGCGGCUGUGGAUGUGCCACGUGGCAAGGUGUGAGUGGCCGUAGGGUGUUUGCUGCUAGUCUUAACCAACGAAUGGUCGCUAUUUAGAGGAAAACGGUUCGGCUUUAAGAAAAAAAUAGAUCUAAUCUUGAUCAUCCAGGAGGGAUCAGAUGGACGAGAGAUGCUCACCGGAGAAAGAACAGAGGAAAGCCGCCGGACUUGGACAGAACGGCGACGUGGCGGCUCGGGUGGCGAUGGUGGCGCCUGCUCCGGUGGUCUCCAUACUCCGGCGGGUAGCGUAAGGGACGCGGAGCU